GUGCGCAGGCGCGCCGACAGCCGAGUUUUCUGCGCUUCCUUCUCCCUCUCUCCAGACGUCGUGGUUGUUCGGUCCUAUGUCGCGCCGGGCCCUCCGGAGGCUGAGGGGGGAACAGCGCGGCCAGGAGCCCCUCGGGCCCGGCGCCCUGCAGUUCGAUCUCCGUGAUGACGAUGACGCGGAAGAAGAAGGGCCCAAGCGGGAGCUUGGUGUCCGGCGUCCCGGGGGCGCAGGGAAGGAGGGCGUCCGAGUCAACAACCGCUUCGAGCUGAUAAACAUUGACGAUCUUGAGGAUGACCCUGUGGUGAACGGGGAGAGGUCUGGCUGUGCGCUCACAGACGCUGCGGCACCAGGGAACAAAGGGAGGGGUCAGCGUGGAAACACAGAGAGCAAGACGGAUGGAGAUGUCACCGAGACAGCGCCCUCAGAGCAGGUGGGGGGCUGAGUGGUGAGGAGGUGGCAUCAGACGGGAGAGUUCCAAGGCACCCAGCCACGUGUAUCCUGUGCUGUGAUUUUCCUUGGAGGUGUAAUUUUCUGAGUUCCAUUUUGGUUACCUGCUAGUUGCCCCCAAAUUUACUUGGGAACCUUGAUGAGAUUUGCAUGAAAUGAGUGAAGGUCGCAGGCCUUUCUCCUGCAUCUCAGGAGAGUCUGCGCCUGCCCAGCAGUGUGUGUAACCGCACACGUGUGUUCUUCCUAGCUGACCGCGCGCGCGUGUCCCCCCUAGCCCGCCGCGCGCGCGUGUCCCCCCUAGCCGGCCGCGCGCGCGUGUCCCUCCUAACUGUGCCCCGAACGUUUGCUUGGCUGGGUUGUGGAUCUGGGUGCUGGUGUAAGUGAACUCUGAAGAAACACGCAGGUCAGGUUAACGUGGGAUGGGCAGAGAUGCAGACAGCCUGCUGCUGUGCUCCACAGCACAGAAGAGGGGCCCGAAAAGGAGAGCUUGUGUUCAUUUAUCCAACAAGUGUUCUUGGGAGCUUGCUGGGUGCU
rnacentral:sRNA from 1 species